UACAGAGGGUGCGAGCGUUGUCCGGAAUCACUGGGCGUAAAGGGCGCGUACGGCGGCUCGGUCAGCGUGCGGUGAAAGCCCGGGGCUCAACCCCGGGUCGGCCGUGCGAACUGCUGGGCUGGAGCACUGUAGAGGCAGGUGGAAUUCCGGGUGUAGCGGUGGAAUGCGUAGAGAUCCGGAAGAACACCGGUGGCGAAGGCGGCCUGCUGGGCAGUAGCUGACGCUGAUGCGCGACAGCGUGGGGAGCAAACAGG
rnacentral:rRNA from 1 species